AUUGAACGCUGGCGGCAGGCCUAACACAUGCAAGUCGAACGGCAGCACAGAAGAGCUUGCUCUUUGGGUGGCGAGUGGCGGACGGGUGAGUAAUGUCUGGGAAACUGCCCGAUGGAGGGGGAUAACUACUGGAAACGGUAGCUAAUACCGCAUAACGUCGCAAGACCAAAGUGGGGGACCUUCGGGCCUCACACCAUCGGAUGUGCCCAGAUGGGAUUAGCUAGUAGGUGGGGUAAUGGCUCACCUAGGCGACGAUCCCUAGCUGGUCUGGGAGGAUGACCAGCCACACUGGAACUGAGACGCGGGCCAGACUCCUACGGGAGGCAGCAGUGGGGAAUAUUGCACAAUGGGCGCAAGCCUGAUGCAGCCAUGCCGCGUGUAUGAAGAAGGCCUUCGGGUUGUAAAGUACUUUCAGCGGGGAGGAAGGCGGUGAGGUUAAUAACCUUGCCGAUUGACGUUACCCGCAGAAGAAGCACCGGCUAACUCCGUGCCAGCCGCCGCCGUAA
rnacentral:rRNA from 1 species